UCUUUGUUUUUUCUCUCUGGGCAUAGCCUAGAAUCAGGCCAUAGGGUCUGGCGAGCCUCCGCCGUGGCCGAAAAAAAAACUUUCUCAGUCCCUUUUUUUUAGGUUUAAAACCCUAAAAACCAAAUCUUUUUUAAAUCAAAAGAAGAAAAAGAAAACAAAAAGAGUAACUUUCGGCCUUGCCGUUUUUAGCGAAUCCUCGCAGAACCCUAAUAGGUUUUGAGGUGUUCAGAUUGCCGGAGAUAGCCCUCGACGACGACAGGUCCCGCGCUACGUCAACAGAGGGGAGAAGGGCUUUUUUGGUGAAAAGGCGACAGACCUCGGGAAGAGGAGCCUCGAGACGGGGCGCGCUGAUGUGGCAUGGAGGCAGCAACGCAUUAGGGUUUCUACUUCUGCUAAAGUUGUUUAGGCUAUGGCCUAUUGGGCUUAGGGUUUUUGUUUGUUUUGGACCUAUAAACUUCGGCCUUAUAUAUCUUUAACUGGGCUGUUUAAAA